CAGUAGCCGCGGUAAUACGUAGGUGGCAAGCGUUGUCCGGAAUUAUUGGGCGUAAAGGGCUCGCAGGCGGUUUCUUAAGUCUGAUGUGAAAGCCGCCGGCUCAACCGGGGAGGGUCAUUGGAAACUGGGAAACUUGAGUGCAGAAGAGGAGAGUGGAAUUCCACGUGUAGCGGUGAAAUGCGUAGAGAUGUGGAGGAACACCAGUGGCGAAGGCGACUCUCUGGUCUGUAACUGACGCUGAGGAGCGAAAGCGUGGGGAGCGAACAGGAUUAGAUACCCCGGUAGUCCCUGUCUCUUAUAC
rnacentral:rRNA from 1 species